AUUGAACGCUGGCGGAAUGCUUUACACAUGCAAGCCGAACGGCAGCACGGACUUCGGUCUGGUGGCGAGUGGCGAACGGGUGAGUAAUGUAUCGGAACGUGCCCAGUCGUGGGGGAUAACGUAGUGAAAAUUACGCUAAUACCGCAUACGAUCUAUGGAUGAAAGCGGGGAUCGCAAGACCUCGCGCGAUUGGAGCGGCCGAUAUCAGAUUAGGUAGUUGGUGGGGUAAAGGCCCACCAAGCCAACGAUCUGUAGCUGGUCUGAGAGGACGACCAGCCACACUGGAACCGAGACACGGUCCAGACUCCUACGGGAGGCAGCAGUGGGGAAUUUUGGACAAUGGGCGAAAGCCUGAUCCAGCCAUUCCGCGUGCAGGAUGAAGGCCCUCGGGUUGUAAACUGCUUUUGUACAGAACGAAAAGGUUUCUACUAAUACUAGGAGCUCAUGACGGUACUGUAAGAAUAAGCACCGGCUAACUACGUGCCAGCCGCCGCCGUAA
rnacentral:rRNA from 1 species